rnacentral:rRNA from 1 species
GGGGCCUACGGGAGGCAGCAGUGGGGAAUUUUCCGCAAUGGGCGAAAGCCUGACGGAGCAAUACCGCGUGAGGGAGGACGGCCCAUGGGUUGUAAACCUCUUUUGUUAGGGAAGAUAAUGACGGUACCUAACGAAUAAGCAUCGGCUAACUCCGUGCCAGCAGCCGCGGUAAGACGGAGGAUGCAAGCGUUAUCCGGAAUUAUUGGGCGUAAAGCGUACGUAGGCUGUUUCAUAAGUCUGUUGUCAAAGCCCGAGGCUCAACCUUGGAUCGGCAAUGGAAACUGUGAGACUAGAGAGAGAUAGGGGCAGGAGGAAUUCCAGGUGUAGCGGUGAAAUGCGUAGAUAUCUGGAAGAACACCAGUGGCGAAAGCGUCCUGCUGGAUCUCAACUGACGCUGAAGUACGAAAGCUAGGGGAGCGAAUGGGAUUAGAUACCCCAGUAGUCCUAGCCGUAAACGAUGGGUACUAGGUGUUGGUCGUAUCGACCCGAUCAGUGCCGUAGCUAACGCGUUAAGUACCCCGCCUGGGGAGUACGGUCGCAAGAUUGAAACUCAAAGGAAUUGACGGGG